AUACUAUUCCUUUGGAAAUCAUGAUCUGCUCAACGUUGUUUGUUUGUACGAUUCUAUGCGUACAGUUGACGCUGACAUUGCAACCUGAUGUCGACUUGACAGAAAAAGGAGGAACUCAGUACAGAUCGCAACUUCCCAUAUAUAUCAACGAAGAUUUAAACUCAGAGGUAGAUGAAGAAUUGAAAUAUAUCUUGGCCUUUUUCUGGCAACCAACACGUAGCGGACGAGAAAUUAACGUGCAUGAAAGGAAAAACGUUCGCUAUUAGAUGGCAUCUGUAAAGAAGACAUUAUUUUUACCUGAAAAUACUGCAAUUCAAAAGCCAAAUGCAAUCAUCUUUAAAAUUAAAUUUUGAAACGCUGCGUUACUCUUGGAUGCAUAACGAAUAUGUGAAUUUUAUGAUUACAAUCAGCAAUAAAGUAUUCAUCAAAACUGC